UACGGGGGGGGCAAGCGUUGUUCGGAAUUACUGGGCGUAAAGGGUUCGUAGGUGGCCCGCUAAGUCACACGUGAAAUCCCUCAGCUCAACUGGGGAACUGCGUGUGAGACUGGCAGGCUUGAGUGCAGGAGAGGAACGCGGAAUUCCAGGUGUAGCGGUGAAAUGCGUAGAUAUCUGGAGGAACACCGGUGGCGAAGGCGGCGUUCUGGACUGUAUCUGACACUGAGGAACGAAAGCCAGGGGAGCAAACGGG
rnacentral:rRNA from 2 species